AAUAUUGGACAAUGGGGGGAAGCCUGAUCCAGCCAUGCCGCGUGUGUGAAGAAGGUCUUCGGAUGGUAGAGCACCUUAUGUUGGGAGGAAGGGCAGUAAGCGAAUACCUUGCUGGCUUGACGUUACCGACUGAAUAAGGACCGGCUAACUUCGUGCAACCCGCCGCGGUAAUAUGAAGGGUGCAAGCGGUAAUCGUAAUUACUGGGCGUAAAGCGCGCGUAGGUGGUUUGAUAAGUUGGAUGUGAAAGCCCAGGGCUCAACCUGGGAAUCGCAACCAAAACUGUCUGACUAGAGUAUGGCAGAGGGUAGUGGAAUUUCCUGUGUAGCGGUGAAAUGCGUAGAUAUAGGAAGGAACACCAGUGGCGAAGGCGACCACCUGGGCUAAUACUGACACUGAGGUGCGAAAGCGUGGGGAGCAAACAGG
rnacentral:rRNA from 1 species